GUGCUCUUAUGAAAAAUCAACCUGUUUGAAAAUAACUUGUGUUAUUGGGGAGGAUGCCUUUUAUUACACUGCUACUCUCGAUGGGAUACCCUGCAAUGGAUCUUCGAUUUCCUCUAUAAGAACUGGAUGGGAAUGUUACCAAGGAAAAUGUCUCAAGAAACUUAGACCUUCGAAAUACUCACUAACAAAAUAAAAAU